UCUGCACACCGUUAGAGCCCGGCGCUGUCCUGUCUGUGCAGUGCGGGGUGUAGGAUGUGUGCUAAAAAGUAUGCAUGGCCUCUAACCUUCUUUCUGAACCACACAGGGGGAAGCAGGUAGAGGUCUUGCUACAGAA
ensembl:snoRNA SNORA62 Small nucleolar RNA SNORA62/SNORA6 family